GACGAACCGUGCAAACGUUAUUCGGAAUCACUGGGCUUAAAGGGCGCGUAGGCGGGUGACCAAGUCUAGGGUGAAAGCCUCCAGCUUAACUGGAGAAGUGCCUUGGAUACUGGUUAUCUCGAGGAGGGUAGGGGCAUCUGGAACUAGCGGUGGAGCGGUGAAAUGCGUAGAUAUCGAGAGGAACACCUGCGGCGAAGGCGGGUUGCUGGGCUGACACUGACGCUGAAGUGCGAAAGCUAGGGGAGCGAACGGG
rnacentral:rRNA from 1 species